UCGCUCCUACCGAUUUCGAGUGAUCCGGUGAACCUUCUGGACUGUGGGCGGUUCAACCGCUCGCGGGAAGUUAAGUAAACCAAUUCACUUAGAGGAAGGAG
rnacentral:rRNA from 1 species